AUUGAACGCUGGCGGCAGGCCUAACACAUGCAAGUCGAGCGGAGCGGCGGACGGGUGAGUAAUGCCUGGGAAUCUGCCUGGCAGUGGGGGAUAACGUCCGGAAACGGGCGCUAAUACCGCAUACUAUCAGAUGAGCCUAGGUCGGAUUAGCUAGUUGGUGGGGUAAAGGCCUACCAAGGCGACGAUCCGUAACUGGGCUGCGAGGAUGAUCAGUCACAUUGGGACUGAGACACGGUCCAGACUCCUACGGGAGGCAGCAGUGGGGAAUAUUGGACAAUGGGCGAAAGCCUGAUGCAGCCAUGCCGCGUGUGUGAAGAAGGUCUUCGGAUUGUAAAGCACUUUUAUAAGAGAGGCGUUACCUGCCGAAUAAGCACCGGCUAACUACGUGCCAGCAGCCGCGGUAAUUC
rnacentral:rRNA from 1 species